UUUUUAAUUGAGAUCUUGUAUGAAUGAUUGGACAAGAGAAAUACUGUCUUUGUAUUAAAACUUGAAUUUAACUUUUAAGUGAAAAGGCUUAAAUACACUAAAGGGACGAUAAGACCCUAUAAAACUUUACAUUUAUGUUAAAUUUUAUGGAAUUUGAAGAUUAUAAUUAUUAAAUUAAUUUUUUGUUAUGUUGGGGAGACAAAAGCUAUAAUUAUAUAUAACUGCUUUUAAGGGAAACAAAAAUAAGUGAGGAAGAUUAGAGAUCCUUUAUUGAGAUUAUAAGAUUAAGUUACUUUAGGGAUAACAGCGUUAUUUUUUUUGAGAGUUCAUAUUGAAAAAAAAGAUUGCGACCUCGAUGUUGAAUUAAAAUAUCUUUAUAAUGCAGGUGUUAUAAAAGAAGGUCUGUUCGACCUUUAAUUUUUUA
rnacentral:rRNA from 1 species